CAUACUGCACCGUUCAGGAGAUUCGCGUGAACGAAAGCACUUCUACAUCUUGAAACACAUUUAGCACCCUGUAGGUGGCUCUGUCCGUUAGUAAGUUU
rnacentral:lncRNA from 1 species